CUUCCUCCACCUCAUGCACUGGCCAUGGAGAUGUCCCCAAGAUGAGCAGCUGAGAGAUCUGUAAGGAGCCAAGAAAAUUCAAUGCGUGUGCUGCCACCCAAGAGGGAAUCCGAGAACUGGUGAUCCCACCAGCCCCAGGAUGGUCAUGACAGCCCUCAUAGUUUUAGGUAAGGAAGCCUAAAAUUUUCAAGCUUAGGCAACUUUUUAAGUUUAGUCAAUCCCUAAACCUGAAUGUUCCAGGAGACCCAGAGCCUGAACUGCACAUUCAAGGGCAGUUGCAUUGUGUGGUGAAAUGGAGCAGGUAGAAGCAGAUUGGCAAAGCUACAAAGAGCCUGGAGAUAGUGCCAAGAGAUGCUCUGCAUGCUCAAUACCCAGCCUGAGCCCUGUCCUGACAAAUGUGGGGCUGGCAAGAUGCAAUAAUCCCUGCUGUGCCAUCAAGGCGGGGGAAAUUUGGGAUCAUUCCCAGCCUCACUCCUCAACCUGGCUGGGCAUGCAGCUGCUGAGACAUGGGUGUGUCCUGAUGCCCCCAGUCACCCCUCACCCAUGGACAAGACUUGGGACACUUUGGAGGCAUUUUAGGAGUAAAUUAGGCCCCCCCACCCAUGGACAAGACUUGGGACACUUUGGAGGCAUUUUAGGGGUAAAUUAGGCUGGUUCAGGGAGGGCAGAGAGACAGUUUGGGGGGGCUUUUUGGUGUGUCUCUGUGUCUCUCUCCUCCUACCCGAAAUCUCCCCAGAUAUUAAAAUGGAUUUUAUAUGUGUGAUGUUAAAGUAACUUUGUUAUAAAUAUAUAGUUUUUAUUUAUGCUGUUAAUUAAGCUUAGACAUAGUAGGGAAAUAGCUAUGCUUGUGUUAAAAUGCCUGCUUGGAUGGAAUAACGUUCAGUGAACAUAGGAUGAGGACACCUGCUACAGAUCUGCCAACUAUCAGCACACACCCUCUGAAAACAGCGAGGACCAAGGCCCAGACUGGAAGUGAAAAGGAGAAGGAGCCAAAACCACAGCCAAAAAACUUGCAUGCUCUAAAAAGACAGACACGAGGAAGGGCUGUGUAAAAUAGUUCCUGUAAAAUGUAAACUAGUUUAUGGAUAUGCAUAAGAGUCUAUGAAUAUGCAACAGGUUGAUGUAAUGGAAAAAGAAUUUAAGGGAUAUCCUCAAAGAUAACUGUGUUGUCUUGGCUAAGUGCCAAGAUGCACCCAGCCCUUUGCUCUGUGGUCCAUUUUGUCCUAUUGUCCUUUAUAAACUUUUAAAAAUUUCA